UACGGAGGGGACUAGCGUUGUUCGGAAUUAUUGGGCGUAAAGGGUGCGUAGGCGGUUUGGUAAGUCUUAUGUGAAAUCUACAGGCUCAACUUGUAGUCUGCAUGAGAAACUGCCGGGCUUGAGUGUGGGAGAGGUGAGUGGAAUUCCUGGUGUAGCGGUGAAAUGCGUAGAUAUCAGGAGGAACACCUGUGGCGAAAGCGGCUCACUGGACCAUAACUGACGCUGAUGCACGAAAGCUAGGGGAGCAAACAGG
rnacentral:rRNA from 1 species